rnacentral:rRNA from 1 species
CCUACGGGUGGCAGCAGUGAGGAAUAUUGGUCAAUUGACGAGAGUCUGAACCAGCCAAGUAGCGUGAAGGAUGACUGCCCUAUGGGUUGUAAACUUCUUUUAUAUGGGAAUAAAACGUUCCACGUGUGGGAUUUUGUAUGUACCAUAUGAAUAAGGAUCGGCUAACUCCGUGCCAGCAGCCGCGGUAAUACGGAGGAUCCGAGCGUUAUCCGGAUUUAUUGGGUUUAAAGGGAGCGUAGGUGGAUUGUUAAGUCAGUUGUGAAAGUUUGCGGCUCAACCGUAAAAUUGCAGUUGAAACUGGCAGUCUUGAGUACAGUAGAGGUGGGCGGAAUUCGUGGUGUAGCGGUGAAAUGCUUAGAUAUCACGAAGAACUCCGAUUGCGAAGGCAGUUCACUGGACUGCAACUGACACUGAGGCUCGAAAGUGUGGGUAUCAAACAGGAUUAGAUACCCUUGUAGUC